UAACUGGUUUCUCUUCAGGUAACAUAAAUCUUUUGCCUUUUACUAAAGAUUUCCAUGGAGAGAAACAAUUCUGAGUCUUAAGCCAAUUUUUUAGUCUUAGUGCUUUAUAUAAGAG
rnacentral:snRNA from 1 species